rnacentral:lncRNA from 1 species
UGGCGAUUUAGUACUGUGUGAUACCUUAUGUGAGGGCUCUGUGCCCAAGUGUUUUGUUAAGUCUCUGAUCCUCUUCCACCAUACACAUAGAGAGCCAAAAGGAACAAACUGACAAACUCCAGGACUGAAGAGACUCUGGCUGCCUGCAGCUACCCGAAUCAUGCAUGGGCUUCCCCAAGGACAGCAGGUAUCGGUGAUGAGACUUCUGGUCUACCCUUUCACCCAGAAGACCCAGAGCACUUCUAUAAUUCUCACGUGUCUCUCUAACUGGAUUUACGGCUGUCACAACAAGAGGGAGAUCAUUCCUGGAACUGGAAAUAUAGCCAACCCCACAGGGCUACUAAAGCAAUGGAUUUGGGGGCAAGUCCUGCAAACACCACUUACCUGACUACGUUUUAUACUUUUGCCCCUGAAUCCACAGAUAAGUGUAGUCUUUACCCUCCAUCAAAGAGACUUCUCUAAGCAACAGAUGGAAACCAUCACAGAAAACCACGACCAAUCAAAAUGGAGAGUUGUGGAGUCCAAUCCCAAUGGAUAGAUCUGCACAAUAGUUCUUGCAUCAAAGGGAACAUUGUGGAGGAAUGGAGAGAGAAAAUGGUUAGGAGCUAGAGGAUCGGAGUUUGCUAUGAGAUAGUGUCUCCUAGUAAUGUUAGAGGCUACUCCCACUAAGUCUUACCUAUAUUACUGCCUAAUACAAGCUGAAUGAGGACAGCCAUAGACAUGCUAACAAGUACAGCGGAAUGACCUUUAGGCCUCAACUAUACACCAAGAAUUCCAG